AAUGUGCUUAGCAUCAUCGAGCCAGUCCCAGAGCGGCUACCAUUGGCCGUAACCAUUUGUCAAAAGGAGGAAAUAAGCUAGACAGCAGAAUGUCACUGAGCCCAGGGUCUGUGGUUGGGGCAUCCGAGGUCGUAUCAUCAUAGUUGCUUUUUUCAAAGUGUAGUCCCAGCCCCGCCAACGAAACCAUACAAUACCCUGUCGGGCAGUCAAGUCUUGAGGAUCAUGCAGAUAAAGUCCGUUUAAUCCACGACCACAUGACUUCCACCACCAGCCGCCCUGCAAACCAAAAAAAAAAAAAAAAAACAAACAAGGAAUUGGUUAACUUUACAAAAGUUAAAUUGCUCACCAAAUCCAUUUUUAUAGUCCGCCCAAUCGCGAUUGAAGUUUUCACGCGGCUCUCCAAAAUCAUCCCGCCGUUGAAUCACCUGCGAUUAAGGUAAAAUACUCCAGACUGUUUCAUGCCAGCAUUUAAGAUAUCUACACAGGAGAAACCCUAGAUCCCUGCUAAGUGGAUGUCUGUGACCCGUCGAUCACAUCUUCACCAGACGAAUUAACAUCAAAUGAAAGGAAGGGAAAGGUAACCAAGAAUGCCAAGAAGAUGGAAGAUGAAUUCCUACCCAAGCAAGAUGUAAUUGUCCCCCAAUCAACAGUAAAAGUCAUCAUGUCCUGCUUUACAAUGCUGAAGAAUACAAGUUGGCGACAAUUGAAGGCGGAAACACAGCGGGAACGCCGACGAAAUAUCCACAGACAUCAAUUUUCCCUAGUCCGCAUAUCCUACCUUACUGGCAGUACCUAAGUCGAAGGAGGUCGUCGAUGGACUACAUCUUACAAAUUUGAGCCGAGACGCCUCAGGAAAAGGCAGACGGCUUUACUUCCACAUGGGUAUGCCAGCUGCUGCAGUGCCUCCUGUUGGUGUGGACGUGGGCCUUUAGCAGGACAAUGGAACAAAUAUUACAGUUUAAAACUAUCAGAGCACAAAAAGCUUAAUAGCCACUGUUAAACAAACAUUUCUCCUGUAGAAAUGAAUCAUUUUCAUGUAUUCUAAUACUAUUUAUACAAGAUACAAUUAUACUAAAAGAAAUGUUUUCCUCCUCUCA